CCUUAAAGAACCUGCCUUUGUAGUGCUCACACAGAUUGUCUGAUAGAUGUAAAGAAGCAAGACGGCUGCGAAGUCGCGACACCUCGUGUCCCCUUCGUCUAGCGGUUAGGACUCCGCCCUUUCACGGCGGCAACAGGGGUUCGAAUCCCCUAGGGGACGCCACUUGCUGGCUGUGAGUGAAAGGCACAACCAACCGAUAUCUCAAAACUCAUCUUCGGGUGACGUUUGAGAUAUUUGCUCUUUAAAAAUCUGGAUCAAGCUGAAAAUUGAAACGACACACAGUUAAUGUGUGUUCGAGUCUCUCAAAUUUUCGCGACACGAUGAUGUUUUACGAAACAUCUUCGGGUUGUGA
rnacentral:misc_RNA from 1 species